rnacentral:lncRNA from 1 species
CAGUGAUGUUAUAUGAAUGGAGAACCUGUCUUUAAGUGGAGGAAGUAAAAGAGUUUGGCUUAGGAAAACAAAGACUAAAUCUUGUAUGGUUACUUGGCCUAAAUAUAUAGCACCUAGACUCCAGAAAGAUACAAAUACUAAAUGUGGGUAAGGAACAAUGAGUUAUUUACUGACUUGGAGGGCUGAAAAUUGAAAGGAUGCAGUUCCUUCUCUCUUGGUGUGACAGCUAUUCAAUAUCCUACUAAAUCCUAGUUAGUACUGUGGUCUGGAAGAAAUCUAGCAAGGAACAGUAUCGUUAACCAUUAGGUUUUUCAUCACCUUGAAAACAUGUUUCCAGUAUGGAUUUGGAUAUUUCAUGGCUUUAUUUUGGUGAAAUGCUGAAAAAUAAUCAGGAAGAGAAGGAAGGUUUUCCCUGCAGAUUUCCACGAGAGGUGGAGAGUCAUCAGAAAUGUGCAUCUUCCCCUCAGAUGCACCCGAUCCUGUAGGAAUCCUGAGUUAAAGCAGGAGAGAAGGUCUGGGAGCUGUUGGAUUUUCUGUGAAGUGCAAUGUCCCACUGGAUUCAAGCACACCUGCAGUAUCUGACACAGCA